GUAUUAUUUAACUUGUUUACAUUCGUUUACGUUUGAGUUUAUGCCCGAGGGCGUGCACAGUUGUGUGUGUAAAGAUAAGGCCUUGCGGCACAUUUCUAAUGAUCCUUCCGCAGGUUCACCUACGGAAA
rnacentral:misc_RNA from 1 species